UACGAAGGGGGCUAGCGUUGCUCGGAAUCACUGGGCGUAAAGGGCGCGUAGGCGGCCAUUCAAGUCGGAGGUGAAAGCCCAGGGCUCAACCCUGGAAUUGCCUUCGAUACUGUCUGGCUAGAGACCGGAAGAGGUAAGUGGAACUGCGAGUGUAGAGGUGAAAUUCGUAGAUAUUCGCAAGAACACCAGUGGCGAAGGCGGCUCGCUGGGACGUUACUGACGCUGAGACGCGAAAGCGUGGGGAGCAAACAGG
rnacentral:rRNA from 1 species